rnacentral:rRNA from 1 species
AUUGAACGCUGGCGGCAUGCUUUACACAUGCAAGUCGAACGGCAGCGCGGGCUUCGGCCUGGCGGCGAGUGGCGAACGGGUGAGUAAUGCAUCCGAACGUGCCCAGUAGUGGGGGAUAGCCCGGCGAAAGCCGGAUUAAUACCGCAUACGACCUGAGGGUGAAAGCGGGGGACCGAAAGGCCUCGCGCUAUUGGAGCGGCCGAUGUCGGAUUAGCUAGUUGGUGGGGUAAAGGCUUACCAAGGCGACGAUCCGUAGCUGGUCUGAGAGGACGACCAGCCACACUGGGACUGAGACACGGACCAGACUCCUACGGGAGGCAGCAGUGGGGAAUUUUGGACAAUGGGGGCAACCCUGAUCCAGCCAUGCCGCGUGCGGGAAGAAGGCCUUCGGGUUGUAAACCGCUUUUGUUCGGGAAGAAAUCCUCUGGGCUAAUACCCCGGGGGGAUGACGGUACCGGAAGAAUAAGCACCGGCUAACUACGUG